rnacentral:rRNA from 1 species
UACAGAGGUCUCAAGCGUUUGUUCGGAUUCAUUGGGCGUAAAGGGUGCGUAGGCGGCGCGGUAAGUCGGGUGUGAAAUCUUGGAGCUUAACUCCGAAACUGCAUUCGAUACUGCCGUGCUUGAGGACUGGAGAGGAGACUGGAAUUUACGGUGUAGCGGUGAAAUGCGUAGAUAUCGUAAGGAAGACCAGUGGCGAAGGCGGGUCUCUGGACAGUUCC